rnacentral:tRNA from 1 species
GGAUAUAUAGCUCAAUUGGUAGAGUGCUUGCCUUGCAUACACAAGGCCCUGGCCUGGGUUCAAUCCUCAGUACCACCA